rnacentral:rRNA from 1 species
GUCAAGAAUCUUCCCCAAUGGCCGAAAGGCUGAGGGAGCGACGCCGCGUGCAGGAAGAAACCCUUCGGGGUGUAAACUGCUUUUCUGUGGGAAAAAUCAAUGAUGGUACUACAGGAAUAAGGGGCUGCUAACUUCGUGCCAGCAGCAGCGGUAAUACGAAGGCCCCGAGCGUUAUCCGGAUUAAUUGGGCGUAAAGAGCUCAAAGGUGGCUUGUUAAGUCUUUGGUUAAAUCCUAGUGCUCAACAUUAGGACCGCCGGGGAAACUGACAGGCUUGAGGGCAGGAGAGGCAGACGGAAUUGCCGGUGUAGUAGUAAAAUGCGUUAAUAUCGGCAAGAACACCAAAUGCGAAAGCAGUCUGCUGGAAUGUCCCUGACACUACAAGAGCGAAAGCGUGGGUAGCGAAACGGAUUAGAUACCCCAGUAGUCC